UACCAGCGCCCCGAGUGGUCGGCGCGAUUAUUGGGCCUAAAGCAUCCGUAGCCGGCCUUACAAGUCCUCCGUUAAAUCCAGCUGCUUAACAGAUGGGCUGCGGAGGAUACUAUAAGACUAGGAGGCAGGAGAGGCAAGCGGUACUCAGUGGGUAGGGGUAAAAUCCGUUGAUCCAUUGAAGACCACCAGUGGCGAAGGCGGCUUGCCAGAAUGCGCUCGACGGUGAGGGAUGAAAGCUGGGGGAGCAAACCGG
rnacentral:rRNA from 1 species